ACCAACAAGCUUGCUUGUUGGGG
rnacentral:rRNA from 1 species